rnacentral:rRNA from 1 species
GUUUUCAUGUAGUUUAUUUAUGAAAUUUAACCUGCCCACUGAAUUUAUUUAAAGGGCCGCGGUAUAUUGACCGUGCAAAGGUAGCAUAAUCAUUAGUCUUUUAAUUGGAGGCUUGUAUGAAUGGUUGAACAAAAAACAAACUGUCUAUAACAUAAUUUGUUGAAUUUAACUUUUAAGUAAAAAGGCUUAAAUAAAUUAAAGUGACGAUAAGACCCUAUAAAACUUAAUAAUUGAAAUUGUAAAAGUAUAUUAGUUGUUUAAAAUUUUUUUAAUAUAUUUUAUUUUAUUGGGGCGAUAGAAAUAUAAAAGGUAGCUGUUUUGUUAUUUAAAUAAUUAUUAUUAGAGAUUAGUUUGUUCCUUUAAUAGAGAUUAUAAGAUUAAGUUACUUUAGGGAUAACAGCGUAAUUUUCUUUAAGAGUUCUUAUCUACAAGAAAGAUUGCGACCUCGAUGUUGAAUUAAAAAUUCUUUAAGGUGUAGCAGCUUUAAUAGGAGGUCUGUUCGACCUUUAAAUUUUU